GUGAAUCAUCGAAUCUUUGAACGCAAAUUGCACUCCCUGGUAUUCCGGGGAGUAUGCCUGUUUGAGGGUCGGUAUAAUAAAAAAUCGAUGCGUCGCUCUUUUUUUUAAGGGUGACCGCGUCGGACUUUAUCCAUCUUUCAAAUUAUAAUUCAUGUCAAAGUGGCUUUUAAUUCAUCCAUCCGGUACGAUUAAAUUUUAUUUAUGAUCUAUUUUUAUUGAGACACCUUUAUUAGUUACCAUC
rnacentral:misc_RNA from 1 species